rnacentral:rRNA from 1 species
CAGCAGUCGCCACGGUAAUACAGAGGGUGCGAGCGUUAAUCGGAUUUACUGGGCGUAAAGCGUGCGUAGGCGGCUUCUUAAGUCGGAUGUGAAAUCCCUUAGCUUAACUUAGGAAUUGCAUUCGAUACUGGGAAGCUAGAGUAUGGGAGAGGAUGGUAGAAUUCCAGGUGUAGCGGUGAAAUGCGUAGAGAUCUGGAGGAAUACCGAUGGCGAAGGCAGCCAUCUGGCCUAAUACUGACGCUGAGGUACGAAAGCAUGGGGAGCAAACAGGAUUAGAUACCCCGGUAGUCCCUGUCUCUUAUAC